UACGGGGGGGGCAAGCGUUGUUCGGAAUUACUGGGCGUAAAGGGCUCGUAGGCGGCCAACUAAGUCAGACGUGAAAUCCCCAGGCUUAACCUGGGAACUGCGUCUGAUACUGGAUGGCUUGAAUUCGGGAGAGGGAUGCAGAAUUCCAGGUGUAGCGGUGAAAUGCGUAGAUAUCUGGAGGAAUACCGGUGGCGAAGGCGGCAUCCUGGACCGACAUUGACGCUGAUGAGCGAAAGCUAGGGGAGCAAACGGGGAUUAAGAAACC
rnacentral:rRNA from 1 species